rnacentral:lncRNA from 1 species
AAGGGUUGCCACCACUCAGAGGAGCACAGCAGGAUUAGCCCCACACAGGUGAAAAGAAAGUGAAUGGUUCUUUCUGUGAGCAGAUUUUCUUUCUAAAACAAUGCCUCCUGCAGCUAAAGGAGGAAAAGAGGAAACCAACAAUACCAACAGCUAGGGGAAGAGAUAGGUGAGGUCUCUGUUUUCUGAUGAGGAAGCUAAGCCUUGGAAGCCAGGCUUCAAACCUAGCGGGGGCAUAAUGAUCUUUCCAGUGUACAUUUUUGCUUUUGCAAAUUAGAAGAGUUAUUAAGUUUAUGAGUCAGUAUCAUGAAGAUCAAGAUGAUAUCUAAAAGGUUACUGGCAUGCAGUUUCCAUAAUAUUGCUAGAAGACAAGACUGAAUCAUAGCCUCCCAGGAACAGAAGAAACCUCAAAAGUUAUCGAGGCUGUUGUUUGGCAGCAACUGGAGCUACGUCCAAGCUGAUACUUCUAAAGCUGCUGUGCUCAUAACUAGGGAAGCAGAAGAGGAGAUCGUCCUCCUGCCCUGGCAACCAGGGAUGAUGGCACGUGCCUAGGCUCAAGCAUGGCAAUUCUCCCAUCCAGAACUUGGAAUCUUCGGGAUCAUGAUUCUUGGCUAUGCAAACCUGAGGCUGAUGCAUCCUCCAGCAGCUGACCACGGACAUGUGCAGCAUCACAGUGACAGAUGGCAUUUCAACCACUUGGUUUACACCUUCCUCCACUGUCACCACCAUUCUGACAGAAAUGAGUUCCAUUUGCUCCAUUUUACAUAAGGGCAAAAGGCAGCAUUGACUCACCAAGUUUACACAGUUAGGGAAAAGAGCAACCAGGUCAGGAUCAGAUACAACAAAGAAGUGAUUGCAGAUGUUAAAUGGAACAUAGCUCUGGUCGUUUGAUAAAUAUUCAGUAAUUUCUUCAGUUUGUUAAGAAAAAUUAUCCAAAAUUUACAAUUACAGAGGAAGCAAAAUUUUACCUGUACCCUAUUUUUUUUUUUCUGGGGCUAAGAAUUAAAUUGACUUAAGACAGACAUAAGACAGAUCAACAGCAGAAGAACAAAUUUACUUAAUACAAGUUUUACAUGGCAGGAGAGACUACAUAAGGAAAUGCAGACCCAAAGGCACAGUUAGAUUGAACACUUACAUACAGAAUUAAAGAGUCAUGAAUUGUGAAAAUGUCACAAGGCCAAGAAGCUUGGGCUGAGUGGUUAAUUGAGUGAAAAAGUGGCUCGGAAGGUAUCUCCGCCCUAUGAAGGCCUUGAUGGGGAGCAACUCAGGCCUUGAAGGUAAAUGUCCUGUCCCACAGGUGCCAUGAGCUCCGGGAAGUAGAGACGUGAUCAGACUCCCCUGCUACAGCCUUGUACUUGUCACCGAAGGGAGAUGUGCAGGUGCAAGCCCGACCAAGGGACACCUCCGUGGCCAUGACAGCUUUUCUUCUUAAAAGAAAAAACCGGACCGUGGGUUCAGAAAUCCAAAUCCAUUUGUUUAUACUCGAUUCAUACCAAAGACUACAAAAU